GUAAGGAAUAUUGGACAAUGGACGCAAGUCUGAUCCAGCCAUGCCGCGUGAAGGAUUAAGGUCCUCUGGAUUGUAAACUUCUUUUAUAAGGGACGAAAAAAGGCUUUUCUAAGUCGUCUGACGGUACCUUAUGAAUAAGCACCGGCUAACUCCGUGCCAGCAGCCGCGGUAAUACGGAGGGUGCAAGCGUUAUCCGGAUUCACUGGGUUUAAAGGGUGCGUAGGCGGGCAGGUAAGUCAGUGGUGAAAUCCUAGAGCUUAACUCUAGAACUGCAAAUGAUAGUAUCUGUCUGGAAUAUUGGGGAGGUAAGCGGAAUAUGUCAUGUAGCGGUGAAAUGCUUAGAUAUGACAUAGAACACCUAUUGCGAAGGCAGCUUACUACGCAUAUAUUGACGCUGAGGCACGAAAGCGUGGGGAUCAAACAGGAUUAGAUACCCGGGUAGUCC
rnacentral:rRNA from 1 species